UACAGAGGGGGCAAGCGUUGUUCGGAAUUACUGGGCGUAAAGGGCGCGUAGGCGGCCUUCUAAGUCGAACGUGAAAUCCCUGGGCUCAACCCAGGAACUGCGUCCGAUACUGGGAGGCUUGAAUCCGGGAGAGGGAUGCGGAAUUCCAGGUGUAGCGGUGAAAUGCGUAGAUAUCUGGAGGAACACCGGUGGCGAAGGCGGAUCUCUGGGCCGUAACUGACGCUGAGGAGCGAAAGCAUGGGGAGCGAACAGG
rnacentral:rRNA from 1 species